GGACAGUAGAGGCAGAGUUUGAAGCCAGGUCCUUUAAUCCUAGAGCUUUGCCUGGAAGACUGACUCGAGCUGUCCAUGAAUCUACAAAUUGGUGAAUCUCUCUAUCUGCCUAGUUGUCAGCCUCUAUUAUUGAGCAUGAGAUAGUAGCGCCAACCUUGCUAGAUUAACAUGAACCAUUCUUCCAAAGGACUGAUGUUCUCCAUUGCACUCUCCAUUUUAUAAAUUCAGUUCACAGCUUAUGGAA